UGUUACUUGUGCCAAACUGCAACAAGUUUACAAGCGGGAGUCUCUUAAAGUAACUACCGACAUUUAACCAGGCACAAACGUCGUGAUUAAUCGUUAUCCGAAGUCUAUUACCAAGAUGAUGUCUGAAGAGGCCUUUCAGACAUUGGUACAUGAUAUAUACUCAGAGGCCACACUGACCGCUUUGGAUGCUAUCGAUGCAAAUGAAGCAGCUAUGAAGGAAGCUGCAAUGAAAC